rnacentral:rRNA from 2 species
GACCUCAGAUCAGGCAAGGCUACCCGCUGAAUUUAAGCAUA